CAUGCAAGUCGAGCGGAUGAGAAGAGCUUGCUCUUCGAUUCAGCGGCGGACGGGUGAGUAAUGCCUAGGAAUCUGCCUGGUAGUGGGGGACAACGUUUCGAAAGGAACGCUAAUACCGCAUACGUCCUACGGGAGAAAGCAGGGGACCUUCGGGCCUUGCGCUAUCAGAUGAGCCUAGGUCGGAUUAGCUAGUUGGUGAGGUAAUGGCUCACCAAGGCGACGAUCCGUAACUGGUCUGAGAGGAUGAUCAGUCACACUGGAACUGAGACACGGUCCAGACUCCUACGGGAGGCAGCAGUGGGGAAUAUUGGACAAUGGGCGAAAGCCUGAUCCAGCCAUGCCGCGUGUGUGAAGAAGGUCUUCGGAUUGUAAAGCACUUUAAGUUGGGAGGAAGGGCAGUAAGCGAAUACCUUGCUGUUUUGACGUUACCGACAGAAUAAGCACCGGCUAACUCUGUGCCAGCAGCCGCGGUAAUACAGAGGGUGCAAGCGUUAAUCGGAAUUACUGGGCGUAAAGCGCGCGUAGGUGGUUUGUUAAGUUGGAUGUGAAAGCCCCGGGCUCAACCUGGGAACUGCAUCCAAAACUGGCAAGCUAGAGUACAGUAGAGGGUGGUGGAAUUUCCUGUGUAGCGGUGAAAUGCGUAGAUAUAGGAAGGA
rnacentral:rRNA from 1 species